GUGGGCGUAGCUCAGUUGGUAGAGCCCCUGGUUGUGAUCCAGGUGGUCGCGGGUUCAAGUCCCGUCGCUCACC
rnacentral:tRNA from 1 species